rnacentral:rRNA from 1 species
GAUGAGCGCUAGCGGCAGGCUUAAUACAUGCAAGUCGAGGGACAGCACAGGUAGCAAUACUGGGUGGUAACCGGCAAACGGGUGCGGAACACGUACACAACCUUCCUUUAAGUGGGGGAUAGCCCAGAGAAAUUUGGAUUAAUACCCCGUAAUAUAGUUGAAUGGCAUCAUUUGAUUAUUAUAGCUACGGCGCUUAAUGAUGGGUGUGCGGCUGAUUAGAUAGUUGGCGGAGUAACGGCCCACCAAGUCUACGAUCAGUAGCUGAUGUGAGAGCAUGAUCAGCCACACGGGCACUGAGACACGGGCCCGACUCCUACGGGAGGCAGCAGUAAGGAAUAUUGGUCAAUGGACGCAAGUCUGAACCAGCCAUGCCGCGUGAAGGAUUAAGGUCCUCUGGAUUGUAAACUUCUUUUAUUUGGGACGAAAAAGGGUCUUUCUAGAUCAACUGACGGUACCAGAUGAAUAAGCACCGGCUAACUCCGUGCCAGCCGCCGCGGUAACAC